CCCUUUUCCUUCUAGUUUUAACUUAAUUUAAAAGUUAAUUGCCUGUCUUAACCAACUUGAUGACAGCGGUUUAAAUCUACAGGAAGUCUUGUUCUAUCUAAUUUUUUUUCCUGUUUAGGGAAGGGAAAUGCAGCUAAAAAUACCACAUGGUUUGAAUCAUGACCACAGAAGAGAAACUAUUGGGAAGAGAUACCCUGUUGGCACUGCAGGAGGACUUUGCUCAGUGUGUGCUCCCAGGGCUCCAGCUAUGGCUGCUCUCAGUCCCCACAGCACCUUCCCAGCCCAGUGCCUGAGGGUUAGGGGAUGAGAAAUUACUUGUUACUGUACAGGUAAAACCCAAAUGUGAAGAAUAGUAGUGAAGAUUUUCCUGGGUUCUUCUUUCCAGUGCUAUUACAGAUAGCAGGUACAUUUGCAGAUCUGGAGACAUCUAGAAGGAAAGAUCUGGUACCCAUGCCUGCCCACCUCCCUUCCCUCCCUGAUGAGUCCAUCCCUGUGACCUUCCCCAGCUUGACUCUGCUGGCCACGUCCAGCUGAUUAUGCAUAAUCUCUGGAGAAGACUGAUGGAAACCUUCAUCUAGAAUUCUGUAACAUCAGUAAAACCAUCCAGGAACAAUGGUUUCAGAGAGAAGAUUGAUACUUCCUUCAAGAAAACAUUAUGAACCCAGUCCAGUCUUUUUGCACUGAAUUAUGUAUGGAGUCACCACAAUUGCAAGUAUCAGUCAAUGCCUACACAGAAAUGCAAGGCUAGACAAGUAAUGGCUUUAGACUCCCUCGCAGUGAAUGUGGCGAGAGACCAGGGAAGCAGACACGCUACUAACAUCGAGGUGCCCUUCUGAGAGAUGCCUCCCCUCCCAGCCAGAUCUGCCAAAAUUAUCAGAUGGACAAUGUGGACUCUGAUCAUGAACAUGAAUUCUAGGAUGAAAUCUGUAUGCUUUAAGCAGCUGCGUUGUGCCUGCGAGUGAUUGAAAACAGCAGGGGCUUGUAGCUGUGACAGAUGCUGUAUAUGGGGCAGUAGUGUAGGUAUAUAGAGCCAUGGACAUUGUGGGACAUGAGCAACAGACUCAAAGCUGGAGGCAGCCUCUCCCCUCCCAGCAGAUACAGCAGAUUCACAGGAUACAGAAGAUAUGGCAGCUGCAUCCCCAUCACAUUGCAGCUAAUGCCACAAUUGCCUAUUGACUCAUAGAAAUGUAAUGUUGCUGGUGAUGGUGGUGGCCUUAAAAGUUUUUACUGGAUCUUGGAGCAUUUUUGUGACUCAUCAGCUAACCUUACCUGAUGGCUUUACAGUGUUGGCAUUUAUCAGUGUAUACUUGUUCUGCCUUUUCAUUCUGCUUUAUCUGAUUUUUGUACAGGAGAUAGAAGGCCUCACUUCCAUGACCUUUGCCUUUUCCUCAUCUUACACCCAUUAACUGCUAACUGCCCUCAUCAGAAAAGGCUAAUUUCUUUAUGUUGGCAAGACCAGGGCCUCAUGAAAUCGAAGGUGAAACUCUCCUUGAGAGCGGGAGUAAAAGUGGCUCCUUUUAAUCAAAGGACUUGAGGAGAAAAGCAAAACAGAAGGCAGAGACAGUAAGUUCAAACUCCAUACCAAACUCCAAAAUGAUCAAAAGCUGAUGAACAGCUCCAGUCUUCCUAGAUAUUCAUGCAUCCAGGAUGACAUGGCUGCUCUCAGAACUGAAGCCUAUUAUAGCUACCACCCUCUCAAUAAAUACCAAUCUAAUUAUAAUGCUUUCUUCAAAUCUGGAGUGUGUGGGCACAGGGCUAGUUCACUAUUGGCUGCAAUAUGAUUUUAUUUUCAGUGACUGGUAUUCAUUGGUCACAGCACAAAUUUCCUUCCAAAGUCAUAAUUUCUGAAAUGUGGCACUUUUCAUUAAGAUGACAAAUGCUGGCAUUUGGUGGGAUGUGGUAUUGAUUGCAUCAAGCUCUGAAAUAAUGGCCAGCAGCAGAACAAUACAGAAACCAACAGUGCUGGGCUGGAUCCGGCUGCUUCCCUAGGGCUUGUUUCCAUUCUCCAGUGUAUUUCUGACUUACUGUGAAUAAAGUCACUUAACACACUGAUUUGGUGUACUAUCUAUCAAGUGAACUGUUCAAAGCAGAGAUGGGGCCAGAUGACAUAGACAAAAAAAAGGUACCAUUCUGAAUGAUAGAGGCAAUUCUCCACCUGUAAGGAUUUUAUUACCUACUACUGCAAAAGUGGGUUCAAGCACUAAACAGUUUCCUCUGAGUGAAAGAAGGGGUUGGAGACCUUUCAGCAAAUACACACCACAGGGAAAUAGCACAUUUUGCAGUCCCGAGUCUUUUAAUUUCUAGUGAAUCUGGACAUUAUUUUUUAAUUUCUCAUAGUUCUCUUCAGUGAACUGAACCCAAAAUCUCAGGUUCUGAUGAGGAAUCAAAAUAGGCAUGUUCUGAUAAACCUGUCCCUGAGAAACUCUGUGAGAGUCCACUCUUUUAUGUACAAAAUGAGAGAUCAUCCUCUAUGCCCAAAUGUAUUUAAUAUCAAGGAAGACAUGAGCAAUUAGGCUGCCUUCUGCUCAGGACUGCUAGAACAGUCAAAGAGCAAUAGUUGUGGUGCCUCACGUGAGACCAGUAGCCAAUUUGUUUCCUUGCCUGACUUGUUUUUCAUCCAACUUUUUCUUGCUUCCUAACAAAUGACUACAAUAUACACAUAUAUGUAUGUAUAU